UUGAUCCAGGCUCAGGAUGAACGCUGGCGGCGUGCCUAAUACAUGCAAGUCGAGCGAUGAGGGUCCUUCGGGAGUACAUCAGCGGCGAACGGGUGAGUAACACGUGGGUGACUUGCCCCGAAGAUGGGGAUAACCUCUGGAAACGGGGGCUAAUACCCAAUGUGCUCGGUGAUUCGGUUCAUCGAGUAAAGCUCCGGCGCUUCGGGAGAGGCCUGCGGCCCAUCAGCUAGUUGGUAGGGUAACGGCCUACCAAUGCAGAGACGGGUAGGGGGCGUGAGAGCGCGGACCCCCACACUGGCACUGAGAUACGGGCCAGACUCCUACGGGAGGCAGCAGUAAGGGAUAUUGCGCAAUGGACGAAAGUCAGACGCAGCGACGCCGCGUGGGCGAUGAAGGCCUUCGGGUUGUAAAGCCCUUUUAUGGGGGAAGAGAAAAAGGACGGUACCCCAGGAAUAAGUCCCGGCUAACUACGUGCCAGCAGCCGCGGUAAAACGUAGGGGACAAGCGUUAUCCGGAUUCACUGGGCGUAAAGAGCGUUGAGGCGGUUCCGUAAGUUGGGCGUGAAAGCUCCGGGCUUAACUCGGAG
rnacentral:rRNA from 1 species